GGCUACGUAGCUCAGCUGGUUAGAGCACACCAUUCAUAAUGCUGGGGUCGGUGGUUCAAGUCCACCCGUAGCUACCA
rnacentral:tRNA from 1 species